rnacentral:rRNA from 1 species
CUGGCUCAGGAUGAACGCUGGCGGCGCGCUUAACACAUGCAAGUCGAACGGUUAAAGCCCCUUCGGGGGUGCAUAGAGUGGCGAACGGCUGAGUAACACGUGGGCAACCUGCCCCCCGCACCGGGAUAGCCUCGGGAAACCGUGGGUAAUACCGGAUACUCCCUCCCUGCCGCAUGGCUGGGAGGGGAAAGCGGCAACGGCGGGGAUGGGCCCGCGGCCUGUUAGCUCGUUGGCGGGGUAACGGCCCACCAAGGCGAUUAUGGGUAGCCGGGUUGAGAGACCGACCGGCCAGAUUGGGACUGAGACACGGCCCAGACUCCUACGGGAGGCAGCAGUGGGGAAUCUUGCACAAUGGGCGAAAGCCUGAUGCCGGCGACGCCGCGUGCGGGACGAAGGCCCUCGGGUUGUAAACCGCUUUCAGCAGGGACGAGGCGCAAGUGACGGUACCUGCAGAAGAAGCCCCGGCUAACUACGUGCCAGCAGCUGC